AUUGAACGCUGGCGGCAGGCCUAACACAUGCAAGUCGAACGAGUGGCGGACGGGUGAGUAACGUCUGGGAAACUGCCUGAUGGAGGGGGAUAACUACUGGAAACGGUAGCUAAUACCGCAUACCAUCAGAUGUGCCCAGAGGGGAGUAGCUAGUUGGUGGGGUAACGGCUCACAAAGGCGACGAUCCCUAGCUGGUCUGAGAGGGUGACCGGCCACCCUGGAACUGAGACACGGUCCAGACUCCUACGGGAGGCAGCAGUGGGGAAUAUUGCGCAAUGGGCGAAAGCCUGAUGCAGCCAUGCCGCGUGUGUGAAGAAGGCCUUCGGGUUGUAAAGUACUUUCAGCGGGGAGGCGUUACCCGCAGAGGAAGCAACGGCUAACUCCGUGCCAGCAGCCGCGGUAAUUC
rnacentral:rRNA from 1 species